AAAAGAUCAAAUCUUUACAUGGGUGUGAUUCAAAUUUAAAGAAUGUUCAAAUUCAGUAAGUUUUGAAGAUGCAUAAACAGGUCCUGGGCAAGGGAAUCAUUAAAAAUUACAAACACAAAUAAAAAAAAAAAAAGAGAAAAAAAUUACUUUCUUUCCAAUUUGAAGUGAAGCCAAUGGCAAACUGAGAGGCAAAUGUGCGCAUAUACAAAUGAACUCCAUUGCCAUUUCUCUUCUUAUCCCUCCUAAAAAGCUUCUAACUUUAACAUCUUCUUGAUUCCCUUCUUUACAUCCCGUUUUAUACACGUAUCUACGUUUGACUACUCCGCCGUCUCCUCCCCGACCUCCCCAGUAAAACCCCCUGGCGGCGGAGCCGGUUAACCAGUGACAUGUCAUUGCCACCGUCAUCACCACCACCACCACCACCACCAUCAUCAUCAUCAUCAUCACUUUCACCUUCGUUAUUGUUUUCAUUUCUACCAAACGAGCCCUCGUUACCGCCAGCACCAAAUGCAUGAAACAAGAGAAACACGUUAACAAGACUGUUAUCACCCGCCACAUCUAAACCACCACCAGUGUUGCCCCGCCCUAAAUCACCCACGUCAAAGCCCUCCUCGUCAUCGUCAUCCGAGUCUGACCCGUACGAGUUCCGUUCAAUCACGUAAUCGCCAAACACCACUGCUCCCGGCAUUGAUGACGUCACCGUGCUAAUCACGUCUUCGCGUUCUCUCUCACGUUCGAGCCGCCGCCAUUUCUGUUCUUGAUCGGGGUCCACUUCCCGUGGCUUAGAACACGGGUGUUCCGACUUAACAUGCUUCUUCAGUUCCUUAUACGCCCCGAUAAAAGAACAAUUCUCAUGCAUACAUGUUCUUUUCUUACAGUUAAGAUAUUCCCGAGUUGACUCCACCACCGUCCACCCUUUGACUUGGCCUCGGCAAAGAGGACACGCCAGCUCAGCCACUUCUCCAUGCUUCUCAACAGGCCAACCCGAUAACGAAUCCAAAACGUUACCAAUGGUUGUUAACGCUGGUGGGUGAUGUGGCGACAGAGAUGUGGUUUUGGUGUAGGCUUUUUUGUACUGGUCGAGGCAGUUGGAAUAGCGAGAGCUAGUGCCGCACAUGUAAGGGCGGCAACCCUUAUCGUGUGAAGAGCAUAGAAGAAGAACAGCAUUGUGAGGAUAUUCCAUGCAUACUGAGCAGGUGAUAUCUUCCAACUCUUUUUUGGGCAUGCUUAUGGUUGAUUUUUUUUCAUUCGGAUGCAAUAAAUGAUGUUCACAAGUGAGCAUUGGAUAUGGGGUUGCCCUGCAGUUUCUUGAAGCCAUUCUGCGUCUUCCCCUGGUGCCUUUUGCCAUUCUUGAAAUGAACCUAGAGAGCAGUUUGGGGAAAGUGGGGAAUCAGGACUCUACGCGCUUUUGGGAGCGUGUAUUUGUGGUGAAGAUGAGAUUGAAAGAUGUGGUUAAAAUGAGGACAUAA
rnacentral:lncRNA from 1 species